rnacentral:lncRNA from 1 species
AUCUGUACGUUUCUAUCCGUUGUCUGAAUUUCUGAGCCUAUAACAGCAACAUUAUCAACAUUCCUAUUUAACAGAGACACAGAAGCUGCUGCAGCUGUAGAAACGGUCACAGCAACAACAUCUUGAGCAAGAUUCCCUAUUACAAGCAACAACAGGAUAUCUGGAUAAGCCAUAAGUUUCCAUGCUGUUUCGCCAAAAAGAUCACUAAAAACAGAAGUGGGUAUCAAUAAAUUCUAAAAAUCAGUAAAGCACCUUCACUUUAAAUUAAUUUUCUCUCUACUUAGUUAGAUUUACUAUGAGUUAUUUUUCUAUCGUCAUACGAGUUGCUGUCGGCCUUGUGCCGAUACAGAAGGAGUGGAAAUAAGAAAGAAAAUACAGAAUGAAAGAAAAGUCUAUAACUCUAAUGUUAAGCUAAUUAGGUGUGAUUGUGUUUCGACAGAGCAAUGUGUCUUUAUUUCGCAUAGAUGCAUGCUUCAUUAUGUACUACACAUGCUUCUAGUUUGUUGCAGAUAUUGUAUGGCUUGAAACUUUGCUUUUAUAUCAAUUUGAAAUCCGUUAACCAAAAGAGAGAUUGAGACAUCCACAGUAGAUAGAAUGUAAGUGGUAAUUUUAGAUUCAACAAAACUAUUUUAUAAGAAGCAAUCAUGAUAAACUGCAUGCCGAUAAUACAACAACUGCCCGCAAUGCACAUAAUCUUAUGUGCAUAAGCUAUAGAAUAUUAAAGGCUCUUAUCCACAGCUUGUAUUCAAGUAAUCAAGCCAUGACCCCAACUGGAGUAAAUGAGGCAGGAAAACCCAAUCUGAAUACUGACCAAAAGAUUCAGAACUAGAUAUUCAAAAGACCAAGAUAAAUCUAAUAAGAACAUGUAAAGGGAUGGUAUGAUGACCGAUAACCUGAACUUACUCAAGUGAGACACCAUACUGUUACAAACAUAAGAGGAUAUUGACAAUUAGCAGGCCCUAUUUGGAUAAACAGUUUAACUUAUCAUAUAAGUGCUUAUGUAUGAACUAUUUAUAGAAUAAAAGUAAAAGUAUAGUCAAACUAUUUUCAUAUAAGCUAUAUGCUUUUUAAUAAGCUGUCCUAAAGAGCUUAUAGAAAUAAACUAAAACAGCUUACGAACAUGUCAUGAGUUGUUUUCACAAGCAAUAUCAAACAGUCUCACAAGUUCUUGUACCAGUAGAUAGUAGAUAAUCCCAAAUAAGUCAAUCCAAACAGGCAAAUAUCCUUACAUCGAUUGAAUAAAACUUGAUAUAUUUAUGUCAAUAACUAAGAUGUUAUUUGAUAUUUGUCUUAGACAGCGAAUAAAAAUUGUGUAUGACAAACAAAUUGUACUAUGCAUGCAUGUAAACGAGGAACAUGUGAUGAAUAUAAUGCAUGUCCACUUACAUAAAAGACCAUCAUCGCAGUCUUCUUCUUCUUCUUGGUUCAUUUGAAACUUGUCUUGAAGCGCGAUUUCCUCUUCUACUUCUAGAUGAAGAAGGGUCUAGCGAACUAACCUGUACAUUUCUAUCAGUUGUAUGAAUUUGUGAGCCUGUAACAGCAACAUUAUCAACAUUAUCAACAUUCCUACUUAAAGGAGAAACAGAAGCUGCGGCAGCUACAGAAUUGGUCAGAUCAACAUCUCGAGCACGACUCUCUGACUGGUUUGUAGCAGCAACACCUAAAGUUGAAUUUCUAGUAACAGCAGGAGGAUUUUGCUCUCUGCUUCCUCCUGUAUUGUGACCAUUGAUAUAUGACUCAAGGUCCUGGACUAAUCUUUCAGC